UACCAGCACCCCGAGUGGUCGGGACGAUUAUUGGGCCUAAAGCAUCCGUAGCCGGUUCUACAAGUCUUCCGUUAAAUCCACCUGCUUAACAGAUGGGCUGCGGAGGAUACUAUGGGGCUAGGAGGCGGGAGAGGCAAGCGGUACUUAGUGGGUAGGGGUAAAAUCCGUUGAUCCAUUGAAGACCACCAGUGGCGAAGGCGGCUUGCCAGAACGCACUCGACGGUGGAGGGAUGAAAGCUGGGGGAGCAAACCGG
rnacentral:rRNA from 1 species